AAGAUGUGAUGCUGGAGACCUACUGGAACCUCACUGUUAUAGGUUACAGUUGGGAAGAGCAUCAUAUUGAAGAACAAUGUCAAAGUUCUGGAAGGCAUGAAAGGCAUGUAAGAAGUCACCAUGGGGGAAAACCAUAUGAAUCUAAUCAAAGUGGUAAAGCCUAUACAGAAGAUAG